rnacentral:rRNA from 1 species
UACAGAGGUCUCGAGCGUUAGGCGGAAUCACUGGGCUUAAAGCGUGUGUAGGCGGAUCGUUAAGUACCUUGUGAAAUCCCACGGCUUAACCGUGGAACUGCUUGGUAUACUGGCGGUCUUGAGCCAGCUAGGGGCUACCGGAACAAAUGGUGGAGCGGUGAAAUGCGUAGAUAUCAUUUGGAACGCCAAUGGUGAAAACAGGUAGCUGGGGCUGUGCUGACGCUGAGACACGAAAGCCAGGGGAGCGAACAGG